UGCAUACGUCUCUUCUAGAGUCACUGAAUUGCCUUAUCGUCCUCAUUUGGUUUUUGUGGAUGGCCAUUGCAGAGCACCUUUGGAAGAAACAUGGACUGCACUGUUUUCAAGUCUUAGAUAUGCUAAAAAUUUCAGUGGUCCGGUUUGUUUUCGCCAUGUUGUUCUUGCUCCUUUGGGAUAUGAGACUGCACUCUUUAAGGGACUAAGUGAAGAUAUAAAUUGUGAGGGAGCAUCAGCACGUGAUCUUUGGCAAAACCCUAAUGACAAAAAAACAGCCCGAUUAUCUGAGUUUGGUGAAAUGAUUAGAACAGCUUUUGGCUUCUCUGUCAAUAGACAUGGUGGUGAAAAGCCUGUUUCAGGUCAUAAUGUCCUCUUUGUCAGACGCCAAAAUUAUUUAGCCCAUCCACGUCAUGGUGGUAAAGUUGAAUCAAGACUGAGCAAUGAACAAGAAGUGUUUGAUUCAUUGCAGAGUUGGGCAUCUAAUCAUCUGGAGUGCAAAGUGAAUCUUGUCAACGGAUUGUUUGCGCACAUGCCUAUGAAGGAGCAAAUACGGGCCAUUCAAGAGGCUUCAGUUAUUAUUGGUGCUCAUGGUGCAGGUCUCACUCAUAUAGUUUCUGCAACACCAAAAACAAUAAUAUUAGAGAUCAUUAGCCGCCAGUUUAGGCGCCCACAUUUUCAAUUGAUUGCCCAGUGGAAAGGGUUGGAGUACCAUGCCAUCAACCUUAAUGGAUCAUAUGCCUCUCCUGCAGUUGUUAUUGAAAGGCUUGACAGAAUAAUGAAAAGCCUUGGAUGUUGAACUCUUUUACUAUUGUUGGAAAUUAUCCAUGGUCUCAUUGCUGGGAAGUGGAAAAGUGACAUGAAAUCCUUUCUGCUUGCAUUAUUAAUCUUCGGGAGUCUGCUCUGCUCGUUUUGGUUCCAUCAUUUUCUCUCCUCAGACUAAUUUUUCUCACAUGCUACUACUUUCUGUGCAACGUUUUCUUGGUGGAUGUCAGAUUCUACUUAACGUGAAUUUAAUGCCAUUCAUGGUUGGCAUAUCAAGAUAACGUGAUGCACAGCUCUGACAUUUAAUGAAGUAAACUUUCUUUAACCAUUCUGAAUCUGUCUGAAAGAGGAGGAUGCCUUUCUUUAGGUCCGGUAUGUUAUCCUCAGACUGAUCAGUGUCGUGCUUGUGUUGGGAAUUAUUUAUGGUAUAUAGGGAAGGAAAUGAUGGGUUGAUCCUGGAUUUUUUAUUGGGGUAACUGAUGAUUGCUUUGCUUGGGAUUUUCUCACUUGUACAAUAAAUACAUCACUGGUAGGUUCAAUUUUAAAUGGAAUAUACUUCUGGGAUUUUUUUUUUUUUUUUAAAAAAAAA
rnacentral:misc_RNA from 1 species